rnacentral:rRNA from 1 species
CAGUCGCCGCGGGAAAACGUAGGUGGCAAGCGUUGUCCGGAAUUAUUGGGCGUAAAGGGCUCGCAGGCGGUUUCUUAAGUCUGAAGUUAAAGGCUGUGGCUUAACCAUAGUACGCUUUGGAAACUGUGUAACUUGAGUGCAAGAGGGGAGAGUGGAAUUCCAUGUGUAGCGGUGAAAUGCGUAGAUAUAUGGAGGAACACCGGUGGCGAAAGCGGCUCUCUUGCUUGUAACUGACGCUGAGGCUCGAAAGCGUGGGGAGCAAACAGGAUUAGAUACCCCCGUAGUCCCUGUCUCUUAUACA